AGAAUCAACGCUGGCGGCGUGCCUAACACAUGCAAGUCGAACGAGAAAGUGGAGCAAUCCAUGAGUAAAGUGGCGACCGGGUGAGUAACACGUGACUAACCUACCUUCGAGUGGGGGAUAACCUCGGGAAACCGAGGCUAAUACCGCAUAACAUCGCAAGAUCAAAGCAGCAAUGCGCUGGAAGAGGGGGUCGCGGCUGAUUAGCUAGUUGGCGGGGUAAUGGCCCACCAAGGCGAAGAUCGGUAGCCGGCCUGAGAGGGCGCACGGCCACACUGGAACUGAAACACGGUCCAGACUCCUACGGGAGGCAGCAGUGGGGAAUUUUGCGCAAUGGGGAAACCUGACGCAGCAACGCCGCGUGGAGGAUGAAGCCCCUUGGGGUGUAAACUCCUUUCGACCAAGACGAUAAUGACGGUACUGGUGGAAGAGCACCGGCUAACUCUGCGCCAGCAGCCGC
rnacentral:rRNA from 1 species